CACGUAGGGUGCGAGCGUUGUCCGGAAUUAUUGGGCGUAAAGGGCGCGUAGGCGGCUUUUCAAGUGACGGGUGAAAUCCCUCGGCUUAACCGAGGAACUGCCUGUCAGACUGGAAGGCUUGAGACCGGGAGAGGUGAGUGGAAUUCCCAGUGUAGCGGUGAAAAUGCGUAGAUAUUGGGAGGAACACCAGUGGCGAAGGCGGCUCACUGGACCGGAACUGACGCUGAGGCGCGAAAGCGUGGGGAGCAACAGG
rnacentral:rRNA from 1 species